UACGUAGGGGGCGAGCGUUGUCCGGAUUCAUUGGGCGUAAAGAGCUCGUAGGCGGCUUGGCAAGUCGGGUGUGAAAUCUCUGGGCUUAACUCAGAGAGGCCACUCGAUACUGCUAUGGCUAGAGUCCGGUAGGGGACCAUGGAAUUCCUGGUGUAGCGGUGAAAUGCGCAGAUAUCAGGAGGAACACCGGUGGCGAAGGCGGUGGUCUGGGGCCGGCA
rnacentral:rRNA from 1 species